UACGUAGGGGGCGAGCGUUGUCCGGAUUUAUUGGGCGUAAAGAGCGUGUAGGCGGCUAGGCAGGUCUGCUGUGAAAACUCGAGGCUCAACCUCGAGACGUCGGCGGAAACCAUCUGGCUAGAGUCCGGAAGAGGAGAGUGGAAUUCCUGGUGUAGCGGUGAAAUGCGCAGAUAUCAGGAAGAACACCCGUGGCGAAGGCGGCUCUCUGGGACGGUACUGACGCUGAGACGCGAAAGCGUGGGGAGCGAACAGG
rnacentral:rRNA from 1 species